rnacentral:rRNA from 1 species
GCGGUAAUUCCAGCUCCAGUAGCGUAUAUUAAAGUUGUUGCAGUUAAAAAGCUCGUAGUUGAACCUUGGGCCUGGCUGGCCGGUCCGCCUCACCGCGUGCACUGGUUCGGCCGGGCCUUUCCUUCUGUGGAACCGCAUGCCCUUCACUGGGUGUGCC